UUGUCAGCGGUGAAGCYAGGACUAUUAGCAUGCAUCAGACAUGCUGUUUGUCUGUUUGCUAACAUUCUUCAUUCAAGACUUGUUAACUACCAGACAAGCUUAACACGCUUCUCUUUUUUUUUCUCCUCCCCUCCUCUUUCCCUCCGUCUCUCCCCCCCUCGCUCGCUCCCUCCCUCGCUCCCUCCCCUCGCUUCUCCCUUCGCUGCCGCCUGCCCCGCUCCCUUCCCUUCCCUUCUCCGCCGUCCCUGCCACCCCUCUCAGCCUCCCAUUGUUGCCGCGGGGCCGGUGCAGAGCGGGGCGAGGCCAUUCCCGGGCCUGCCCGGCCGCGGAUGCGCCGCCUCGCCCGGAGCCUCCCGCCCGCCGCGCCGGGGACUGCGGAGCUGCGAGGGGAACACCCAGCGCCGCAGCACGGCCCGCCCGCCCUGCCAGGGUCUGGAAUCUCCUGUCUCCCUCCAGAGCCUGCCCAAGGUCUGAGCCCGUGGAUUCAGCGUGGAGAGCGCUCAUCUGCAGCAGCCAGGUGGAGAAAAGGGACUGGGAAAAAGGAGCUGUGUUGUGUGCCAGUGGGAUCCACAGCAUCCCUUCCACCAGGGGGUAUCAGCCUGGAUGUAGUCACCCUGUGAGGAGUUUGAAAUGUACAGCAGAAAUUGUAUUAACCCUGGAAAAGUUCUUGCUCAUCUGAAGCAUCAUUCAAAAUGCACGAUGGAAGUCACCAAGCAGAAGUUUUCCAUCCCACUGUGUGCAGGACUUCUGAGAUUUAAGUUUACAGGAGGAAUUGCUGAGAAAAAGACAUCUAACCCUAAAGGAAUGAAUCAAAGAACGAGAGCAGCUGAGCUGUCCAGGGAAAGGAGGAAAAGCACGGCCACGGGAGAGAGGGAAGAGAGGGAUGAGCUGUGAGAAAUGCACAGAAGUGAAGUAAAAUUUGGGGCUGCUGGGAAGGG